AAGUUCCUCUGCUCGGAGGUGAUAGCCCCAAUCAGAAGCGAGGUGGAUGACAUAAGCUUGAUUAUUAUCAACUUCGAGGAUCUUACAACUGCGCCAUCUGCCUCAUUGGAAAAUAGCCCAGUAGGAAAAGCACGACUUAGUAAAUUCGAUAGAGCAAGGGCUUCUUUUAGACAAAGCCUAAGAUUCGGAACGAGUAGACGCGGAUUUAGAUUAACCGGAUACUUAACACCGCCCAGCGACGUCACAGCUGCCGAAGAAGAAGCUGAUACACUUGAACAAUGUCCGUUGACGUCGAAUUCCCCGACACCCAUUUUGGACCAGACUUGGGUGUCGAAAACGGAAGCACCGCAAGGUGCUGUCGGAGUCGCCGCUGCUGGUCAUACCACUACCACCAUUCCCUUACCGCAACCGAAGGAUUACACUUCUUUAACGAUAUCUCACAGCGCCCCGGCCAGCCAUCAAGCGUCUUUUGAAAGGGGUGAAAGUGUUGAAAGGGGUCGAACUUCUUUUAAU